rnacentral:rRNA from 1 species
UACGUAGGGGGCGAGCGUUAUCCGGAUUUACUGGGUGUAAAGGGAGCGUAGGCGGUUCUGCAAGUCUGAAGUGAAAGCCCGUGGCUUAACCGCGGAACGGCUUUGGAAACUGUGGAACUGGAGUGCUGGAGAGGCAAGCGGAAUUCCUAGUGUAGCGGUGAAAUGCGUAGAUAUUAGGAGGAACACCAGUGGCGAAGGCGGCUUGCUGGACAGUAACUGACGUUGAGGCUCGAAAGCGUGGGGAGCAAACAGG